CGUUGUUGUGGUCGUUGUGGUUGCCGUGUUGGCCGGAUCUUCUGUCCACGAUCCAUGCUACUUUAUGAGCAGUGUUCAUAGCCAAGUUACACUGACUGCAUGUAUGUACCUGGAGGAACUAUGGCGUGCGCAGCAGCCUGAGGCAUCAUUUUCCAGAACACGUCGUUGUGACUUUUGGAAGGUGGUUUCUACCUUGGACGCUUAUGACCAAACAGGACCUACUGAGGAAUGCCACUCAGUUCUAAUAUGAAAGGUGAAGGUGGUCACUGCUCCAUGAACUCUCGGUCACCUGUGAGUGCGAGCACCUGCAGUGACUGACUUGCAUCGACCAUAGAGGGAAUCGCCACAAGUAAGCAUCGUCGGAUGGAGCACAGACUGCCAUAUGCACUGACCAUGCACGCCGAAUUUCGUUGUGGGCAUCUUGUCUACUGGCAUCUCGCAAAAGCUCUCUAGCAUCCUUGGAUGCCUUAAACAGCAGCAACUGAGUAUCAUAGCAGAGUAAAAUCCAGCGUGUGAACAUAAAGAAGCACAUCCAUGCACUGCACACCAUCAGACCUUGGUAUUUCAUCUUAUGGAAACUAGCAAGCAUUCACAAAGAGCUGCACCUGCAGUGAGUGACUGUCAUUGCAACAUGAACUGAUACCUUAAUGUCAGCUGGUGUUUUUGAAAGACAUUUGUGAUUUGUCGUUGCAGAAAGGAUGCCAUAUUAAUUCAAGUGACCACAACAUAACCAGUUCAUUUCAGUCAGUGCUUCCCUCAUUCUACUUCAAGACCUUUGAGAAUUGAUGGUUAUGACCUUGAGGUUUAGGUAGACGCCCGCCUCACUGGGCCAAGUCAGUGUUUUUCUCCUUUUGCACAUUUCUCAUGUCGCAUUUUUACUUGUGCAUUGUGAAUUGUUCCCUAUUUUACUUAAUGUCAUACCGAUCUGUUAGUACAGUGAAUGUUCUUACUGGCCGUGGCAGUCGCACUUUUGAUGGAGUUGAAAAUGCUUGAGGCCACUGUACUGUGUGAUGUCGGUGCACAUUAAAGAACCUUUGAUGUUUGAAAUUUCCAGAGCCCUCCAUUACGGAAUUCCUUAUAAUCAUAGGGAUUUUGGCACGUAACGCCCCAGAAAUUAAUAUAGUAUGAACGUUCUUACUGGUCUCUCUGGGUUCAGUGAACUUUUGGAGCAACUGCAAACCUUGUUAUAUCAUAGAAAUAAUUUUAGUCACGCUCUGUAGCUUCUUAGUCUGCCCUGUUCAAAUAUAAAGUGUUUUUUUUUUCAAGCAAUACGUAUAAUUUAUAAAAAUUCUGUGACAGUUGCACUCAUGUUGUUAUUGCACAUGAACUCCAUGUCUAGAUGGAUGAAAAUAUACUUUUCAGAAGCUAAAACUAUAGUGAUGUGACUAAUUAAUGAAAAGUCAUAAACUUUUUAAUUAUUCCGUUCACGGCAGUCUUUUAUAUCAGAAACUUGUAGUACGUCUCAAUUUAUGGCAUACGUAUUUUUAGAAAUCGCGAAAGUUGCACGUAGUUAUAUAUUCAUCAUCGAAUUUUAAGGGUUAAAUCGAAACUGAUUGCGCCCGGCGCACAGGAAACGUUCUGUUGCAUAAGACCGGAACUACACGUGACAAGGAAGUGACCAAAUUUUAAUCAAGGCGUGCUGGAUCAGAAUGUGGUCAGGAAAAUCGGCACACAUUCUGAGAUACUCUAGUGGCUUAUUUUUGGGUGGGAUGUGUGAUGUUAAUCUGUUUCCCUUUAAACUAUAAACAGACGCAAAAAUUAUUUUGCUUGUGUGUGAGAAGUGCCACAGUGGCUGCCCGAAUUUUGUUUCACAGACAAAGAAAAGGUUGAUAUUACGUUUUUCUGGCACACAGCUCAAAAUAAACAAAUAAGCACCAACCGCUGCUUGUAAAGGUGAGGUGAUCCGCUGGCGCAAGUGUAAUGAUUUGCCGCUUGUUAUGAAAAGAUACGGCAAAAAUAUGCCUUCAUUAAAAUUUCGUCACUUCCUUGUCACUGGUAGUUUCGGUCUGAUGCAAAAAAAAAUGGUUGCAUUUCCUGCACGCUGGAUGCGAUGAGUUUCAGCAUUACCCUUACAAUUCGAUUGUGAGCAUUUGAAAUUAUGUGCAACUUUUGUGAUUUCUAAAAAAGGGUCUGCCAUAUACUGUCAUACAUCAAAACUUUCUAAUAUUAACAACUACCCUCAAGUCAAUUGUUAAUUAGUCACAGAAGUGUCAUUUUAGCUGUGGCAAAGUAUUUCAGCCUUGACAUAGAGUUCGUGUGCAAAAACAAUGGGAGCCUUAUUGUCAUAGGAUCUUUAUUAACAAAUCUAUAUUGCCUAAAAACACGGUGUAUUUUGCAAUGUAGGCUCUCGCUGUAUUGUUUGUCUGCUACCUAGUCAU